rnacentral:rRNA from 1 species
CCUACGGGUGGCAGCAGUGAGGAAUAUUGGUCAAUGGGCGUAAGCCUGAACCAGCCAAGUCGCGUGAGGGAUGAAGGUUCUAUGGAUCGUAAACCUCUUUUAUAAGGGAAUAAAGUGCGGGACGUGUCCCGGUUUGUAUGUACCUUAUGAAUAAGGAUCGGCUAACUCCGUGCCAGCAGCCGCGGUAAUACGGAGGAUCCGAGCGUUAUCCGGAUUUAUUGGGUUUAAAGGGUGCGUAGGCGGCCUUUUAAGUCAGCGGGGAAAGUCUGGGGGCCAACCAGAGAAUUGCCGUUGAAACUGGGAGGCUUGAGUAGGUGUGAGGCAGGCGGAAUGCGUGGUGUAGCGGUGAAAUGCUUAGAUAUCACGCAGAACCCCGAUUGCGAAGGCAGCCUGCCAGGGCAUGACUGACGCUGAUGCACGAAAGCGUGGGGAUCAAACAGGAUUAGAUACCCCUGUAGUC